GAGUUGGGAAAGCCGCAUUUGGCGGUUUGCUGAGCCAGUAUCACCCGGCAA
rfam:Delta proteobacterium MLMS-1 ctg990, whole genome shotgun sequence.